rnacentral:rRNA from 1 species
AUUGAACGCUGGCGGUAUGCCUUACACAUGCAAGUCGAACGGUAGAGGGGCAACCCUUGAGAGUGGCGAACGGGUGAGUAAUACAUCGGAACGUGCCCAGUCGUGGGGGAUAACGUAGCGAAAGCUACGCUAAUACCGCAUACGACCUGAGGGUGAAAGCGGGGGGUCGCAAGACCUCGCGCGAUUGGAGCGGCCGAUGGCAGAUUGGGUAGUUGGUGGGGUAAAGGCCUACCAAGCCUGCGAUCUGUAGCUGGUCUGAGAGGACGACCAGCCACACUGGGACUGAGACACGGCCCAGACUCCUACGGGAGGCAGCAGUGGGGAAUUUUGGACAAUGGGCGAAAGCCUGAUCCAGCCAUACCGCGUGCGGGAAGAAGGCCCUCGGGUUGUAAACCGCUUUUGUCAGGGAAGAAAUCUUCUGGGUUAAUACCUCGGGAGGAUGACGGUACCUGAAGAAUAAGCACCGGCUAACUACGUGCCAGCAGCAGCCGCGG